GAGGAGGACAGAGCAGAGUCUGUGGACAGGGACGAGACGCCAGCUGGUCCUGCAGAGUCCAGACCCACAGCAGAGUCUUCAGGAUCCAGCAGGUUGUCUCUGAAGAGUGACUGGUCCAAAGGUGAUCUGCUGGACUUCAGUGGUGAACCUGGACCUUCAGACACAAAACCCACAGCAGAGUCUUCAGGAUCCAGCAGGUUGUCUCUGAAGAGUAACCGGUCCAAAGGUUAUCCACCAGACUUCAGUGUUGAACCUGGACCUUCAGACACAAAAGAGAAGAAGAGCAGUGAUGUCUGUGAGGAGCAGCAGGACCAGGGUUCUUCAUC